rnacentral:rRNA from 1 species
UGGGCCUACGGGACGCAGCAGUGGGGAAUAUUGCGCAAUGGGGGGAACCCUGACGCAGCAACGCCGCGUGCAGGAAGAAGGUCUUCGGAUUGUAAACUGUUGUCGCAGGGGAAGAAGACAGUGACGGUACCCUGUGAGAAAGUCACGGCUAACUACGUGCCAGCAGCCGCGGUAAUACGUAGGUGACAAGCGUUGUCCGGAUUUACUGGGUGUAAAGGGAGCGCAGGCGGUGCGGCAAGUCUGAUGUGAAAGCCCGGGGCUCAACCCCGGGACUGCAUUGGAAACUACCGAACUAGAGUGUCGGG